AACAUGACUCCGUAACUUCGGGAUAAGGAGUGCCGUCGUAGGAUGAAGUGCCUAGCUGUACUGAGUCCGAGUCGGCCGCAGAGAAGUGGCCCUACCGACUGUUUACCAAAGUCACAGGCCUCUGCUAACGCGCAAGCGGAUGUAUAGGGGCUGACGCCUGCCCAGUGCCGGAAGGUUAAAGGGAGGGGUUAGCGCAAGCGAAGCUCUGAACUGAAGCCCCGGUGAACGGCGGCCGUAACUAUAACGGUCCUAAGGUAGCGAAAUUCCUUGUCGGGUAAGUUCCGACCCGCACGAAUGGCGUAACGAGUGGGGCACUGUCUCGACGAAGGACCCGGUGAAAUUGAAAUAGGCGUGAAGAUGCGUCUUACCCGCAGCAGGACAAAAAGACCCCGUGGAGCUUUACUGCAGCCUGGCAUUGUGUUAGGGCUGAAUCUGUGUAGGAUAGCUGGGAGACUGGGAAGCUGGGGCGCUAGCCUCGGUGGAGUCGCCCUUGGAAUACCAGCCUGAUUCAGCUUUGACCCUAACCUGCGUCCGUCAUCCGGCGUGGGGACAGUACCAGGUGGGCAGUUUGACUGAGGCGGUCGCCUCCUAAAAGGUAACGGAGGCGCCCAAAGGUUCCCUCAGGCUGAAUGGAAACCAGCCGCAGAGUGCAAAGGCAUAAGGGAGCUUGACUGCGAGACCCACAAGUCGAGCAGAGACGAAAGUCGGGCUUAGUGAUCCUACGGCUCCGAGUGGAAGGGCCGUGGCUUAACGGACAAAAGCUACCCCGGGGAUAACAGGCUGGUGGUGCCCAAGAGUUCACAUCGACGGCACCGCUCGGCACCUCGAUGUCGGCUCGUCGCAUCCUGGGGGUGUAGUAACUCCCAAGGGUUGGGCUGUUCGCCCAUUAAAGCGGUACGCGAGCUGGGUUCAGACCGUCGUGAGACAGGUCGGUCUCUAUCCGCUGUGGGCGUAGGGGAUUUGAGGGGAGCUGCUCCUAGUACGAGAGGACCGGAGUGGACCAACCGCUGGUGUGCCAGUUGUCCCGCCAGGGGCACCGCUGGGUAGCUAAGUUGGGCAGAGAUAACCGCUGAAAGCAUCUAAGUGGGAAACUUGCCCCAAGAUGAGAUCCCCCAUAGCAGAAGCUAGUAAGUGCGCUGGAAGACUACCAGCUUGAUAGGUGGCCGGUGUACGCACAGCAAUGUGUUCAGUUAAGCCGUACUAAUGCACGAGGGCUUAAUUCA
rnacentral:rRNA from 1 species